ACGGAGGGUGCAAGCGUUAUUCGGAAUUACUGGGCGUAAAGCGCACGCAGGCGGAUUGUUAAGUCAGAUGUGAAAUCCCCGGGCUCAACCUGGGAAAUGCAUUUGAUACUGGCAAGCUUGAGUCUCGUAGAGGGGGGUAGAAUUCCAGGUGUAGCGGUGAAAUGCGUAGAGAUCUGGCGGAAUACCGGUGGCGAAGGCGGCCCCCUGGACUAUAACUGACGCUCAUGUGCGAAAGCGUGGGGAGCAAACAG
rnacentral:rRNA from 1 species